rnacentral:lncRNA from 1 species
GAAUGAAACGCUGAUAACUUCUUACUUUGGAGGACUUCUGUUAGAAGGGGGGUGGAGGGGACAGUUCCCAAGGAUCUGAAACAAAGCUUUUUAUCUACUUGUGAAGAUUUAUCUAGUUGUGAAGAGGGAGUUUUUAGCUAACGGAAGCUGCAGCAUUGUCCCCAGGAAAUAAUGCUUUAUCCAGAAUGGGGGGCCUGCUUUAUUUCUGGCACUGUUCAGAAUUGUGCUGAAUCUCUUAUCACCUGGUGUUUUCAUCUGGCCGGUCACCCUCAGGCAGAACCCAGGCAGAGCGUCUGCCUUUGAGCAUUUGGGAAAGGAAGGCCCAAGCAAUGAAGUGGAUGAGACUAGUUUCCAAAAGGCUGCUUAUGUCUGGGAGCUGAGGCCAGACCCAGGCUACAGGCCAUUAGGUCUGGUCCAGUUGUGGUUUCACUGACAUUGACCAUUUUCUUGUCAAAGACCUGUUUGGAAUAAAACUGGAUUUUGCUGAACUGUUCUCUUAUUC